AUCAAAAGCAUUAUUAGAUCUUGGUAGAAGCCUGCCGCAUACUUAUUGGCUCCUGGAUGCUGAUGAGAUUUACUCCUUAUGUAUAGAAAUGUGGUAUUGAAUAAAGAGGCCUUUUUCGAUACUAUAGAGGCAUUUCGGUUAGUGCCUAAAAAGUAUUGAAUUUGGUACUCAACCCUAUAAUUAAAUCUUAA